rnacentral:rRNA from 1 species
CCUACGGGAGACAGCAGUGGAAUAUUUGGCAAUGUGCGCAAGCCUGACCCAGCAACGCCGCGUGAAGGAAGAAGCCUUUCUUGUUGUAAACUUCUUUUCUCAGGAACGAAGCAAGUGACGGUACCUGAGGAAUAAGCCACGGCUAACUACGUGCCAGCAGCCGCGGUAAUACGUUGGUGGCAAGCGUUAUCCUGAUUUACUGGGUGUAAAGGGCGUGUAGGCGGGAAAGCAAGUCAGAUGUGAAACCCAUGGGUCAAACCUGUGGCCUACAUUUGAAACUGUUUUUCUUGAGUACUUGAGAGGUAGAUGGAAUUCCUAGUGUAGCGGUGAAAUGCGUAGAUAUUAGGAGGAACACCAGUGGCGAAGGCAGUCUGCUGGAAAGCAUCUGACGCUGAGGCGCGAAAGCGUAGGGAGCAAACAGGAUUAGAUACCCCGGUAGUC